rnacentral:lncRNA from 1 species
GACGACGCCUCAAGGAUCGUUCAUAAUUUGUAGUUACAAACUAGUCAUUUUCAAUAAUGAGUUAUUGUAACAACUCACAACCCUUAAUUAAUCCAAUGUCACCUGGGAAAUCAAAAACAAUCGUCGUAUCGGUAUAACAAUAAACAAGUCAUGUAAUUUACACAUUGGGAAAACAUCGGGUUUUCCCGGGGAGUUCAACACUUUUACCUACGUGAUGUAUACAAAGUUCAACAAUUAUACAUGUUUUCAAAAUCGACAAGCAUACUUACGGAUCUUCACACUUUUUAUAAACAAUACUCUUUUCAGAAAAUAUCGGAUUUUCUGGGUGUUCAAACUUCACAAAAAUCAUUUUCCAUAACAUUACUUAUGAACUCACCAACAUUUUAUAUGUUGACCGUUUUCAAAAUAACUUGUAUUCUCAGGUAACAGGUAAACAGAAGAAUAUGUAUCAAGUUAUAUCAUGGUGUUUUGCUUAGAUUAAUGAUCAAACGGUUUAUGUUAUGAAAUUGUAACGUUAAAACAAUGUACUGAAUGUAAACAAUAUCGGUUGUAAUAUUUCAAUGCAUGGUGAUGAAUGAUGUUAUGAUUCGUGUAUAAUCAUUGUGAUGGUAUUCAAUUUAAGUCACAAGAGCCCUUGGACGUUUCCGCCGUCUGGUUCGGGGGUGUGACAGGUUGGUAUUAGAGCUCUGUUUAUAGUGAACUAGCAUAUCAAAUAAAUCCCUUAAGACAAAAUACGAGAUCCACGACUACCGGCAAAACGUAAUAACAAAUACACUUUCAACAACCAAUAUCGUUACCAAACGAAUUGAUUCGGUCUCGAAUCAAUAACAAAACAAAAAUCAAAUAACCGUAGUACUUCAAUAAAUACGCGACAACUACGAGGAGUCAAUAUUCAAUCUUUGGGAUUGAAAGUUUCAAAUCAUGCUUGUUGGGCCUUGCUAGCCCAAUAACAUGCUCUUUGGGCCCGAAGGGGACACGCUUACAUGUUAAUGGGCGUUCUAUGACCUAAUUUCAUGUAAAAGGACUUUCAAUAGCUCUAUUGUGUUGUUGGGCCCCAAGGGUCCAUUAGUACUGCUAGCGAAGUCGAGAAAUCAAAUGCGAGUCGGGCCAAGUGCCUUUCGCAUUCCCGAUAGCCUUGAAUGACUUAUGGAAAUAAAGGAGGCAUCUUACCCUCCUUUCUCCUCGAUUGUGGGGCUAUGAGAAACCGAGUAAGCAGAUUCAUGACAUUAAACAAGAGAAGUCAGGGUGGUUGGAUUAUGUGAGUAGUAUGGACGACGCCUCAUAGAUCGUUCAUAAUUUGUAGUUACAAACUAUUCAUUUUCAAUAAUGCGUGAUUGUAACAACUCACAACCCUUAAUUAAUCCAAUGUCACCUGGGAAAUAAAAAACAAUCGUCGUAUCGGAAUAACAAUAAACAAGUCAUGUAAUUUCCACAUUGGGAAAACAUCGGGUUUUCCCGGGGAGUUCAACACUUUUACCUACGUGAUGUAUACAAAGUUCAACAAUUAUACAUUUUUUCAAUAUCUCUAUUGUGCUGUUGGGCCCCAAGGGUCCAUUAGUACUGCUAGCAAAGUCAAGAAGUCAAAUGCGAGUCGGCCCAAGUGCCUUUCGCAUUCCCGAUAGCCUUGAAUGACUUAUGGAAAUAAAGGAGGCUUCUUACCCUCCUUUCUCCUCGGUUUUGGGGCGAUGAGAAACCGAGUAAGUAGAUUCGUGACGUUAAACAAGAGAAGUCAGGGUGGUUGGAUUAUGUGAGUAGUAUGGACGACGCCUCAAGGAUCGUUCAUAAUUUGUAGUUACAAACUAUUCAUUUUCAAUAAUGCGUGAUUGUAACAACUCACAACCCUUAAUUAAUCCAAUGUCACCUGGGAAAUCAAAAACAAUCGUCGUAUCGGUAUAACAAUAAAGAAAUCAUGUAAUUUACGCAUUGGGAAAACAUCGGGUUUUCCCGGGGACUUCAACACUUUUACCUACGUGAUGUAAACAAAGUUCAACAAUUAUACAUGUUUUCAAAAUCGACAGGCAUACUUACGGAUCUUCACACUUUCUAUAAACAAUACUCUUUUCAGAAAAUAUCGGAUUUUCUGGGUUUUCAAACUUCACAAAAAUCAUUUUCCAUAACAUUACUUAUGAACUCACCAACAUUUCAUAUGUUGACCGUUUUCAAAAUAACUUGUAUUCUCAGGUAACGGGUAAACAGAAGAAUAUGUAUCAAGUUAUAUCAUGGUGUUUUGCUUAGAUUAAUGAUCAAACGGUUUAUGUUAUGAAAUUGUAUUGUUAAAACAAUGUACUGAUUAUAAACAAUAUCGGUUGUACUAUUUCAAUGCAUGGUGAUGAAUGAUGUUAUGAUUCAUGUAUAGUCAUUGUGAUGGUAUUCAAUUUAAGUCACAAGAGCCCUCCGACGUUUCUGCCGUUAGGUUCGGGGGUGUGACAGGUUGGUAUCAGAGCUUUGUUUAUAGUGAACUAGCAUAUCAAAUAAAUCCCUUAAGACAAAAUAUGAGAUCCACGACUACCGGCAAAACGUAAUAACAAAUACACUUUCAACAACCAAUGUCGUUACCAAACGAAUUGAUUCGGUCUCGAAUCAAUAACUAAACAAAAAUCAAAUAACUGUAGUACUUCAAUAAACACGCGACAACUACGAGGAGUCAAUAUUCAAUCUUUGGGAUUGAAAGUUCCAAAUCGUGCUUGUUGGGCCUUGCUAGCCCAAUAACAUGAUCUUUGGGCCCGAAGGGGAUGCGCUUACAUGUUAAUGGGCGUUUUAUGACCUAUUUUCAUGUAAAAGGACUUUCAAUAGCUCUAUGGGUUAUUGGACCCCAAGGGUCCAUUAGUAAUGCUAGCGAAGUCGAGAAGUCAAAUGCGAGUCGGCCCAAGUGCCUUUCGCAUUCCCGAUAGCCUUGAAUGACUUAUGGAAAUAAAGGAGGCUUCUUACCCUCCUUUCUCCUCGGUUGUGGGGCUAUGAGAAACCGAGUAAGCAGAUUCGUGACGUUAAACAAGAGAAGUCAGGGUGGUUGGAUUAUGUGAGUAGUAUGGACGACGCCUCAAGGAUCGUUCAUAAUUUGUAGUUACAAACUAGUCAUUUUCAAUAAUGCGUGAUUGUAACAACUCACAACCCUUAAUUAAUCCAAUGUCACCUGGGAAAUCAAAAACAAUCGUCGUAUCGGUAUAACAAUAAACUAGUCAUGUAAUUUACGUAUUGGGAAACCAUCGGGUUUUCCCGGGGAGUUCAACACUUUUACCUACGUGAUGUAAACAAAGUUCAACAAUUAUAAAUGUUUUCAAAAUCGACAAGCAUACUUACGGAUCUUCACACUUUUUAUAAACAAUACUCUUUUCAGAAAAUAUCGGAUUUUCUGGGUUUUCAAACUUCACAAAAAUCAUUUUCCAUAACAUUACUUAUGAACUCACCAACAUUUUAUAUGUUGACCGUUUUCAAAAUAACUUGUAUUCUCAGGUAACAGGUAAACAGAAGAAUAUGUAUCAAGUUAUAUCAUGGUGUUUUGUUUAGAUUAAUGAUCAAACGGUUUAUGUUAUGAAAUUGUAAUGUUAAAAC